rnacentral:rRNA from 1 species
CCUACGGGUAGCAGCAGUGAGGAAUAUUGGUCAAUGGGCGCGAGCCUGAACCAGCCAAGUAGCGUGAAGGAUGACUGCCCUACGGGUUGUAAACUUCUUUUAUAAAGGAAUAAAGUGAGGCACGUGUGCCUUUUUGUAUGUACUUUAUGAAUAAGGAUCGGCUAACUCCGUGCCAGCAGCCGCGGUAAUACGGAGGAUCCGAGCGUUAUCCGGAUUUAUUGGGGUUAAAGGGAGCGUAGAGGGGUUGUUAAGUCAGUUGUGAAAGUUUGCGGCUCAACCGUAAAAUUGCAAUUGAUACUGGCAGUCUUGAGUACAGUUGAGGUAGUCGUCAUUCGUGGUGUAGCGGUCAACUGCUUCGAUAUCACG